UUUCUUCUUUCUAAUUCUUAAAUUAAAUCUAAUACCAUUGAGAGAGAAGAUAUUUUGGCAGAAGGAAUGUGCUUGCAAGGAAAGACCAUGGAAUGCAGUGAAGCAGUGAUUGACAGAAAAGAACCUGCUUGGAUUCUUAGAAUAUUGGAGAAGGGGGUUGGUCUGGAGGUCAACUGCCAACUUAGGGAGAGUUGCUCUUGAAUUCUAAGGAGAGAGGAAACUCUGAAAUCCUCACUGGAGCCUUUGGAAGCAAAAUCUCACUCCUGCCAAGGAUUUCCCUAUUGUACUUGAGAUCUACAGAGCCAUGAAAUCUUUCCUGUCACUAGAAGAACAAAAUCAGCAAGGGAACAGAGUUGAACUGCUGAGUUUACCAUCAGAGGUGUUUUUUUUUUCCCCUGAGCUCUUCUCUUUGCUACCUCCCAGAGGCACUCAAGGUCUGCGCUCUCCUGCCUGCCUGGGUUUCCAGUCUAGCUGCUUUCAGGGCUAUCCUCAAAAAUUAAAAGAAACAUGAAAAUUGGUCCCAAGAACUGGAAUAACUCAGAAAGGCAUUCAAAAAUCAUGAGAAGAUGAAGAAAAAUUGGAAGAAAUGGAGAAAAUAUAUGAAGAUAACAGCUUAAAAAGCAAAAUUGGGCAGCGGAAAAAGAGGCAAAUAAAUCCCAUGAAAGAAAUAGUUUUGUUUUGUUU
rnacentral:lncRNA from 1 species